GACGGAGGGUAGUGCGUCUAGAGACACAUAUUCCCCACGGAUUUGACGAUGGUGUUCGGUCUUGAAUGGAAAUGUAGUCUUAGGCCAGUCUUAGGUUUUUGAACAGGAUAGUAGGUAUCCGGAGUCGAUUGAGGGCCAGAGCAGGCACUGGGGUUCGGAUCCUGGGCAAAGUUUCCCACGUUGAGGGUCUCGAGGACGCCUAGAUCUCUUUCCCAGGGCCAUGGCGAACCCGAAGCUGCUGGGAAUGGGGCUAAGCGAGGCGGAGGCGAUCGGUGCUGAUUCGGCGCGAUUUGAGGAGCUGCUGCUGCAGGCCUCGAAGGAGCUCCAGCAAGCCCAGACAACCAGACCAGAAUCGACACAAAUCCAGCCUCAGCCUGGUUUCUGCAUAAAGACCAACUCCUCGGAAGGGAAGGUUUUCAUCAACAUCUGCCACUCCCCCUCUAUCCCUCCUCCCGCCGACGUGACCGAGGAGGAGCUGCUUCAGAUGCUAGAGGAGGACCAAGCUGGGUUUCGCAUCCCCAUGAGUCUGGGAGAGCCUCAUGCAGAACUGGAUGCAAAACAGCGAUUUCUUGCGGGAGCUCGUGAUCACCAUCGCCAGGGAGGGCCUUGAGGACAAAUACAACUUGCAGCUGAAUCCGGAAUGGCGCAUGAUGAAGAACCGGCCAUUCAUGGGCUCCAUCUCGCAGCAGAACAUCCGCUCGGAGCAGCGUCCUCGGAUCCAGGAGCUGGGGGACCUGUACACGCCCGCCCCCGGGAGAGCUGAGUCAGGGCCUGAAAAGCCUCACCUGAACCUGUGGCUGGAAGCCCCCGACCUCCUCUUGGCCGAAGUUGACCUCCCCAAACUGACCCUUCAAAUAUAGUUUCCCAGCGUGUGAGGCUACCAUGCCUGGUCCAGGUGAUCAUCCUGUUGCUGGGGAGGGUGACCUGAUUCCGCCACCUCUCCAGGAUGGAGCCCUGGGGCUGUCGCUGGAGAUCGGGGAGAACCGCCUGGUGAUGGGGGGCCCCCAGCAGCUGUAUCAUCUAGACGCUUAUAUCCCGCUGCAGAUCAACUCUCAUGAGAGCAAGGCAGCCUUCCACCGGAAGAGAAAGCAAUUAAUGGUGGCCAUGCCGCUUCUGCCGGUGCCUUCUUGAUCAGGGUGUCUCCUUGUGCUUCUGAGAUGUGGAGAAGAGGCUGCUGGCUUCCCUAAAAGUUGAAAUAAAAGAUUUU
rnacentral:lncRNA from 1 species